UACGUAGGGGGCGAGCGUUGUCCGGAAUCAUUGGGCGUAAAGAGCGUGUAGGCGGCUUGGCAAGUCUGACGUGAAAGCCCGCGGCUCAACCGCGGAUUGUCGUUGGAAACUGCCUCGCUAGAGUCCGGAAGAGGAGAGCGGAAUUCCUGGUGUAGCGGUGGAAUGCGCAGAUAUCAGGAAGAACACCCGCGGCGAAGGCGGCUCUCUGGGACGGUACUGACGGCUGAGACGCGAAAGCGUGGGGAGCGAACAGG
rnacentral:rRNA from 1 species